CAGUAGCCGCGGGAAUACGUAGGGUGCAAGCGUUAAUCGGAAUUACUGGGCGUAAAGCGUGCGCAGGCGGUGUUGUAAGACUGAUGUGAAAUCCCCGGGCCCAACCUGGGAACUGCAUUGGUGACUGCAACGCUGGAGUGCGGCAGAGGGGGAUGGAAUUCCGCGUGUAGCAGUGAAAUGCGUAGAUAUGCGGAGGAACACCGAUGGCGAAGGCAGCCCCCUGGGCCAAUACUGACGCUCAUGCACGAAAGCGUGGGGAGCAAACAGGAUUAGAUACCCGAGUAGUCCCUGUCUCUUAUAA
rnacentral:rRNA from 1 species